rnacentral:lncRNA from 1 species
AUAAAUUACUUGAUCUCAUUUAUAUAAUUUAUUCAAAUAGUGACAACAUCCAUACAUCAAAAAUUUAAUUAAAGUACUUGAAACUCCAAAAGCAAAAAACUAAUGUAGUUCAAACAUUCAAUAAUAUAAAUAUUAGUAGGAGUGGCUAAACAUAUACAAAGCAUUACGACAAAGUAAGUUCACAAAAUAUCUAAAUAUUCCUUAUAGUAUGUGAUGUUGCUUCAUGAUCCUUAAUUAGUGUUAGCUCUAGACUCAAGACGCCUACUAUCUCUUGACUUGUCUUAUUUAGUUACCUGAAAAAAUAUAAAUAUAUAUUAGGUUCCUUCAAACAUAACAUAACGGCAUCUCUUUUCGAAGCACAUCAAAUAAAUGAACGAAUAAAAUUAAUUGAAAACAAGGCGUAAGGUAUGCCAUAGUAUACAAGAUACAUUAAGAGGCUUCCAAACAUGAAUACAAUCAGCUCCUCAACAAACUAUAAUGCAGCCCCAAAACUAAUGUCCCCUUAUAUAACUAACACGCCUACAAUAGACAGCCAAAUCAAUUGAUUUACUACUCAUACCUUGCCUAAUUUAACACCAAAUCUAGGCAAUACACAAGCCGAGAAAAAUCUGCC